rnacentral:lncRNA from 1 species
AGAGCGAAAAGAGAGGCAAGCAGAUGAUGUGGCAGAGGGAUGGGGGCUAGGAGAGGCCACAGAGUGUUUGGACAGGCGAGUUUGGACGUCUUGAGGCAGUCAGAGCGCAGGGCUCAUAACCUGUUAGCUGCAGUGCGCCUCAGAGCGAUCACAAUGGCCUAAGUCAAGCUCUGUGAAGUCUAAGGACAACAGAGCUUGA